UAUUGGUCUUCAACGAGGAAUCCCUAGUAAGCGCAAGUCAUCAACUUGCGUUGAUUACGUCCCUGCCCUUUGUACACACCGCCCGUCGCUACUACCGAUUGAAUGGCUCAGUGAGGCUUCCGGACUGGCUCUGCAUAGUGGGCAACUACUGCGCGGAGCCGGAAAGCUAUCCAAACUCGGUCAUUUAGAGGAAGUAAAAGU
rnacentral:rRNA from 1 species